GCUGUCGUCAGCUCGUGUUGUGAAAUGUUGGGUUAAGUCCCGCAACGAGCGCAACCCUUAUCCUUGUUUGCCAGCGAGUAAUGUCGGGAACUCCAGGGAGACUGCCGGUGAUAAACCGGAGGAAGGUGGGGACGACGUCAAGUCAUCAUGGCCCUUACGAGUAGGGCUACACACGUGCUACAAUGGCGCAUACAGAGGGCAGCCAACUUGCGAAAGUGAGCGAAUCCCAAAAAGUGCGUCGUAGUCCG
rnacentral:rRNA from 1 species